rnacentral:rRNA from 1 species
CACGUAGGGCGCAAGCGUUGUCCGGAAUUAUUGGGCGUAAAGAGCUCGUAGGCGGUUGUCGCGUCCGCUGUGAAAAUCCAGGGCUUAACCCUGGACCUGCAGUGGGUACGGGCAGACUAGAGUGCGGUAGGGGAGAUCGGAAUUCCUGGUGUAGCGGUGAAAUGCGCAGAUAUCAGGAGGAACACCGGUGGCGAAGGCAGCUCGCUGGGACGGUACUGACGCUGAGACGCGAAAGCGUGGGGAGCAAACAGG